ACACACUACUGCUGUAGACUACAGGUACACACACACUACUGCUGUAGACUACAGGUACACACACACUACUGCUGUAGACUACAGGUACACACACACUACUGCUGUAGACUACAGGUACACACACACUACUGCUGUAGACUACAGGUACACACACACUACUGCUGUAGACUACAGGUACACACACACUACUGCUGUAGACUACAGGUACACACACACUACU